rnacentral:rRNA from 1 species
GUGAACGCUGGCGGUAGGCCUCACACCUGCAAGUCGCACGGCAGCACUGUAAGAGCUUGCUCUUACGGGUGGCGAGUGGCGGACGGGUGAGGAAUACAUCGGAAUCUACUUUUUCGUGGGGGAUAACGUAGGGAAACUUACGCUAAUACCGCAUACGACCUACGGGUGAAAGCAGGGGAUCUUCGGACCUUGCGCGAUUGAAUGAGCCGAUGUCGGAUUAGCUAGUUGGCGGGGUAAAGGCCCACCAAGGCGACGAUCCGUAGCUGGUCUGAGAGGAUGAUCAGCCACACUGGAACUGAGACACGGUCCAGACUCCUACGGGAGGCAGCAGUGGGGAAUAUUGGACAAUGGGCGCAAGCCUGAUCCAGCCAUACCGCGUGGGUGAAGAAGGCCUUCGGGUUGUAAAGCCCUUUUGUUGGGAAAGAAAAGCAGCAGGUUAAUACCCCGCUGUUCUGACGGUACCCAAAGAAUAAGCACCGGCUAACUUCGUG